rnacentral:lncRNA from 1 species
UAACAUUACGGUCAUGAUUAUACCGAAUAAUCCCUGGUCAUAAUCAUACCAAGUCCAUCUAUGCACUACAGGCCACAGAUGACUUUCAACAUAAUAUAAACAUAAGGAUGAUGACAAUAAUAUAAGAAUUCAAUAAAACAAGUUCAAGAAUUAAUUUAUCCAGGAACCAACAACGUCCAAAUUGUCAACAUGAUACUACUUUGUGGAGAAAAAUUCAAGAAUUCUCAGAAGAAUAUUUUCAUGAAAAGAUACUGGAUGAAGCGCAAAUAUCCAGGAUAUUCUACUAAUUUCAUGGAGUAUAGAAGCCAAAACUUAAACCAAC